GAUUCCUUCGGUUAGUUGGUAGAGCAUCCCGAUUUUUAAAUCGGGAGGGUCCUGGGUUCGAGUCCCAGCGGGAUCA
rnacentral:tRNA from 1 species